rnacentral:piRNA from 1 species
UGCUACUAUGUACGUGGCAGGUUUCCGGU